ensembl:lncRNA novel transcript
UUGUAAUGGUUGCAUCAGGGGAAGGAUUUAUUGAUCCACACCAUUUUCUUGGAUUUUCUAUCCUCCCCAGGGGGCAGAGGUGGGUUGAUUGUGUGGCGUGUCGGCAAAGGCCAGGCUGGGUCUUAAGUAUUCAUCCACCUUCCUCCUGAUGCUCCACGCAGAUGUGCUGGGACCUACUUCAGAGUGUCCCUGAGCCAUGACUGCUUGACUCCACAGAUGGCUUCAGGAAGACAGCACAGAAGAGGGACCU